CAGCUCUAAAAUUCGUUGCAUUUUCGUAAUCCUCUGACACAUUUAAUUGUUAUUAUUGAUAUUAAUGCGACGACAAAAUUUGGAAAUAUUUUAUUGGACGUUUAAACAUCGCUUAGAACAUUUAAUUAAUUUACGAGGAUAUCCGUCAAAACGAAUAAAAAAAGGUAACCAAUCGAGUUCUCUCCGGUCCGGCUUGCAGACGAGUUUUCUAUCCUCCAUGAGGUAAAAUUCAUCCCCGGUGUCCAAUUGUCGCGAGCAGAGUGCGCAGGAGAAACACGUCAGAUGAUACACCAACUCCUGCGCUCUCCUUACCACUUGCGAUGGUGCCAACCCUUGGCCGCAGCCCGCGCAUUUCGUCCCAAAACGCCUGCCACACCAACAACAUACAACAUUUUCACAUUACAUUCACACGUAAAUGACAAGACUCUACACGGCUCUUUUUUCUUUAUUUUCGUUUCUAUUUUGAUUUAACGAGAUAACGACGAGGAGGAGAGCGAUAAAAUUUGUAACGAUCAUUGGUGCUUACUUGAAGAAAUCGUCCUUGCAAAAGACAUGGCCGUUUCUCGCGAAGCAUUUGUCCGUUAGUCUUGCUCCACAAUCUCGACAGGUCAGACAUCUCGCGUGCCAACACCUUUCUAGGACCUUCAACACAUACCUAUCCAAGAUUGCUUCCUGGCAACCACCACAUUUCGGUAUUGAGGCUGCAACGAAAAAGAAUAAUUAGAAUUAACGAUCAUUCUUUAUUUAAAA